GAUGAACGCUGGCGGCGUGCCUAAUACAUGCAAGUCGAGCGAACGGACGAGAAGCUUGCUUCUCUGAUGUUAGCGGCGGACGGGUGAGUAACACGUAGAUAACCUACCUAUAAGACUGGGAUAACUUCGGGAAACCGGAGCUAAUACCGGAUAAUAUUUUGAACCGCAUGGUUCAAAAGUGAAAGACGGUCUUGCUGUCACUUAUAGAUGGAUCCGCGCUGCAUUAGCUAGUUGGUAAGGUAACGGCUUACCAAGGCAACGAUGCAUAGCCGACCUGAGAGGGUGAUCGGCCACUCUGGAACUGAGACACGGUCCAGACUCCUACGGGAGGCAGCAGUAGGGAAUCUUCCGCAAUGGGCGAAAGCCUGACGGAGCAACGCCGCGUGAGUGAUGAAGGUCUUCGGAUCGUAAAACUCUGUUAUUAGGGAAGAACAUAUGUGUAAGUAACUGUGCACAUCUUGACGGUACCUAAUCAGAAAGCCACGGCUAACUACGUG
rnacentral:rRNA from 1 species